rnacentral:tRNA from 1 species
GCCGUUGUAGCAUAAUCUGGUAGUGCAGCGCUUUCGUAAAGCGAAGAUUGAGGGUUCAACUCCCUCCAGCGGCU